rnacentral:rRNA from 1 species
GAUGAACGCUGGCGGCGUGCCUAAUACAUGCAAGUCGAGCGAAGCGGGGACGGGUGAGUAACACGUAGAUAACCUCCUAUAAGACUGGGAUAACUUCGGGAAACCGGAGCUAAACCGGAUCCUUAUAGAUGGAUCCGCGCUGCAUUAGCUAGUUGGUAAGGUAACGGCUUACCAAGGCAACGAUGCAUAGCCGACCUGAGAGGUGGAUCUGCCACACGAGAUCUGAGACACGGCCCAGACCCCUACGGUAUGCGGCAGUAGGGAAUCUUCCGCAAGGGGCGAAAGCCUGACGGAGAAACGCCGCGUGAGUUAUGAAGGUCUUCGGAUCUUAAAUCUCUGUUAUUAUGGAAGCGGUACCUAAUCAGUAAGCCACGGCUAACUACGUGCCAGCCGCCGCGGUAAUAC